rnacentral:lncRNA from 1 species
ACCAGGCAUGUGAUAUGGUGAUAGAGGUUUUUAGAAGAACUUGACCAAUCUGUUCUGCUGGCCUGGCACUUGCUUAAGGUUUUUGCUUUAAAAUAUUAUUUCUUCACUCAAAUCUAGUGUUAAAUUCUGUUUUUCCAGAUAGGUUAACAUGACUUGAUUUUUCAGGUUGAUUUUUAACUAAAGACCAGUGUGAAGUUAGACCACACUAGAGGUGUUUGACUUAAGAUGGCCACACUUGAGGUGCUUAUCUAAGAUAGGGAAGUACAAAGAGAAAUCAGUCAGAGGGUAUCUAUGGGGUGUCUGUGGUGGAGUGGGAAGGAGAAUAAGGAUGGGGUGGAGUUAGGGUAGUUACUU